ACUCAAAUGAAUUGACGGGGACCCGCACAAGCGGUGGAUGAUGUGGAUUAAUUCGAUGCAACGCGAAAAACCUUACCUACCCUUGACAUGGACGGAAUCCUUGAGAGAUCGAGGAGUGCUCGAAAGAGAGCCGUCACACAGGUGCUGCAUGGCUGUCGUCAGCUCGUGUCGUGAGAUGUUGGGUUAAGUCCCGCAACGAGCGCAACCCUUGUCAUUAGUUGCUACGAAAGGGCACUCUAAUGAGACUGCCGGUGACAAACCGGAGGAAGGUGGGGAUGACGUCAAGUCCUCAUGGCCCUUAUGGGUAGGGCUUCACACGUCAUACAAUGGUACAUACAGAGGGCCGCCAACCCGCGAGGGGGAGCUAAUCCCAGAAAGUGUAUCGUAGUCCGGAUUGUAGUCUGCAACUCGACUGCAUGAAGUUGGAAUCGCUAGUAAUCGCGGAUCAGCAUGUCGCGGUGAAUACGUUCCCGGGUCUUGUACACACCGCCCGU
rnacentral:rRNA from 1 species